rnacentral:snRNA from 1 species
UUGCUUCAGCAGCAAAAAUAAGAUUAGAAAUAAUACAGAAAAGAUUAGCAUGGCCCCUAUGCAAAGGUGACACAAACAUUUAUGAAGCAUUCCAUGUUUUU